GACGAACGCUGGCGGCGUGCCUAAUACAUGCAAGUCGAGCGCAGGAAGCUGACGGAACUCUUCGGAGGGAAGGCAGUGGAAUGAGCGGCGGACGGGUGAGUAACACGUAAGGAACCUGCCUCAAGGAUUGGGAUAACUCCGAGAAAUCGGAGCUAAUACCGGAUAGUUCAACGGACCGCAUGGUCCGCUGAUGAAAGGCGCUUCGGCGUCACCUUGAGAUGGCCUUGCGGUGCAUUAGCUAGUUGGUGGGGUAACGGCCCACCAAGGCGACGAUGCAUAGCCGACCUGAGAGGGUGAUCGGCCAGACUGGGACUGAGACACGGCCCAGACUCCUACGGGAGGCAGCAGUAGGGAAUCUUCCACAAUGGACGAAAGUCUGAUGGAGCAACGCCGCGUGAGUGAUGAAGGUUUUCGGAUCGUAAAACUCUGUUGUAAGGGAAGAACACGUACGAGAGGGAAUGCUCGUACCUUGACGGUACCUUACGAGAAAGCCACGGCUAACUACGUGCCAGCCGCCGCAGUAA
rnacentral:rRNA from 1 species